rnacentral:rRNA from 1 species
UACGGGGGGGGGUAAGCGUUGUUCGGAAUUACUGGGUGUAAAGGGCUCGAUAGGCGGCCAACUAAGUCAUACGUGAAAUCCCUCAGCUUAACUGGGGAACUGCGUGUGAUACUGGAUGGCUUGGAUUUGGGAGAGGGAUGCGGAAUUCCAGGUGUAGCGGUGAAAUGCGUAGAGUAUCUGGAAGGAACACCGGUGGCGAAGGCGGCAUCCUGGACCAAUAUUGACGCUGAGGAGCGAAAGCCAGGGGAGCAAACGGG